rnacentral:rRNA from 1 species
ACGAACGCUGGCGGCAUGCCUCACACAUGCAAGUCGAACGAGAUCCUUCGGGGUCUAGUGGCGCACGGGUGCGUAACGCGUGGGAAUCUGCCCUUAGGUUCGGAAUAACAGUUAGAAAUGACUGCUAAUACCGGAUGAUGACGUUAAGUCCAAAGAUUUAUCGCCUGAGGAUGAGCCCGCGUAGGAUUAGCUAGUUGGUGUGGUAAAGGCGCACCAAGGCGACGAUCCUUAGCUGGUCUGAGAGGAUGAUCAGCCACACUGGGACUGAGACACGGCCCAGACUCCUACGGGAGGCAGCAGUGGGGAAUAUUGGACAAUGGGCGCAAGCCUGAUCCAGCAAUGCCGCGUGAGUGAUGAAGGCCUUAGGGUUGUAAAGCUCUUUUACCCGAGAUGAUAAUGACAGUAUCGGGAGAAUAAGCCCCGGCUAACUCCGUG